UCUAGGCCUACUAUGCAUCAGGCUUUUUUGCACUAACCUCAUUUAAUUCUCAUGGCAAUCUAGUAAAAUCAAAAUUAGCAAUUCUAUUUUAAAGACAAGGAAACUGAGACUCAAGAGAACACAGUUGCUUUCUAAUGUCCUAUAAUUAACAAGUGGUAGAGUUUGACCCUAACUCAGAUUUGCCCAGCUCCAGAGCCCAUGCCAAAGCUCAUUUUAAUAAACUCAUCAUCUACAAAAUCAUGACACCGUCUCAUGCACUAAAGAACAAUAGCAUCGGAGAGGCUUGGCUCCUAUCCUCAAGAAUCCCACAGCCCAGGAGGAGCAUGAAACAUGCAAACAACCAAGAAGGACUGUCCUGGGGAAGAGCCUCCAGCAGACAGGUCAUCAACCCCCUGCUGGGGAAGAUGGGCAGGAGAGGAAUGGAUCAGGACCACUGAGAUGGAGAAAGCUUCAAAAAGCAAAUGAGGUUUGAUCUGGCCUUGAACGAUGAGUAGAGUUUCAACAGAUGGAGAAAGUGUGGCAGAGUCUUAUUUUUAAUUUAAGGAGACUUCUGAGGGCUUUGUAUUCAGUACCAGGUAAAGAACACCCAAGCUCAGUAUUUUACAAAGUAACAGGAGUCUUGUUGUCAACUAUCAAUUUAAAUUUCAGUCUGUAUAGACUGCACCGGUGGGUGGUAGAGACUUUGUCCUGUUGUCUUGUGUGGACUGUGCCUGCUGUAGUCAAGCCUCUUCCCUUUGGCAUCUCACUUUUAUGGUAGGCAGUUUUGUGACUACAACAUUGGUCAACAUGUAAAUUCUAAUAAACCUCACAAUUAGCAAGCCCUAGAAAUCCUGCUUAUUGCAUACAUUUUAGAUACUGAGUGGUGAGUACUUCUCUGUGGUAAAGAUCUUGACACAGCAAACACUGCUGAUGAUAUGAUUGUGGUUCUUGGUGAUCGAGGGCACUUUGUUAUCCCAGCACCCAGGACCUUGACCCCCACUACACUGCUAUGAUUCUCACAUGCAGGCAGUUGUACCCUGGGGCUAAGAGUAAGUUCACAAUGUGGUAGAUACCGGGCGCUGCCAGUCACGUGAGGGUGAACACAGACUGGAUGUCAUAUGAGUACACACCCUUCCUGGUGCAGGUUUUGAUGGCAUCCCCAAGAAUGGUCUUAGGAUGAAAUCGACAGGUUUUCAUGGAAAACUGAGCCACCAGUUGACGUAAGCUUCCGACUGCACCAGCCGGUCCUCUCCCUCCUCCUCCUCCCUGCCUGCCUCUCUCUUCCCUCCCAUCUCUUUUCCCCUCCCUUUCUCCCUCCCCUUCUUCCCUUCUUCCUUCCCUCCAGCUCCUUUCUUCCUGUUUCUCCAUCUUCCUCCUUUAUCCUCACCUUCUUUCCUUCCUCGCUCUCCAUUCCUUCCUACUUCCUUCCCUCCCGCCUACCUCCUCUGGCCCUUCCUCUCUUUUUGUUCCACAGCUUUGCACUCCAUCUCCCACUGGUCUUCCUGCUGAGCCUCUGGAGGGUUUGUCUGUCCAGAAGACGGUUGUUCUGCAUCUGCUUCUUCCCACAUCUCAGAUUAGCCCUGGGACCAGCCAGAAUUUCCAAGAGCAUGUUGAGGGCUGAUGCCACUUAAUGACAUUCAGGCCACAGAGCAAGGAGCAGCUGCCCUGCAGGUGGUAUUCCAGAAAUGCUCCCCAGCACCAGCAGGAAGCUGGCCUGGGGCAUUCCAUCUGCAGACUGGCCAGAGAAGCAGCAGGCAGCGGGGAGGAGCAUCACACAGACUGAUCGGAGAAAACCAAUCCAGAGUGGUGGCUGCUCUGGAGGGAGGUGAAAUAUUAUUUUUAAAUGUGGGACACAAGGAAGGGUCCAGCCUGAAGGGGCAACUAUCGGUAAGCCUAAACAAAAGACGCAGGGAUGUGGAAGGCUUCAGAAGGGCCAGCUGCUCCAGGGUAAAAACAGUGGCUUGGGUUCCAGGAAACAGAGCUGCAGUCCUGGCUCUGCCUCUGGGCACCUUUGAGGCAUUGGAUAAUUCAGAGAACGAAUGUUUCUGGGGCUUCCAUAAGUAUGAGAGGAGCAGUUUGCUCUUUGGUUUCUAUGAUUUUAUAAACAAGAAAUGCUAGCUUUAUGGUCUUUUCGUAUUUACUGCCUUCUUCCCUGGGAGGAGAAGAAAGUCAUGUGGCACAAGUUGAAGGGCAUCCCGCCCUUAGGAUUUCAUGGGAGAUAUUAGAAAGGGACAGCAGGGCAGUUGGACAGAGGUGGCUUCAUUUCCAUCCGUGGUCUCUGCCAGCAGGGUUGCCCUGGGCAGGUCUCUUCUUCGCUAGACCAGCUUCCCAAUCCCAAGUGGGAAGCAUCUUAGGGAACCUGAAAGGUUGUGUCAAGAAUCAGCAGUGCUGUGUCAUCACCUAACACAGUCUUUGACACAGGGUAGACUUUCUAUCAAUCCCAGAUGGCUUUAUUAUCAGCAGUUAAAACUGUCAAAUCACAGCAGCAGAGGCAGGAGGGACAUUACAGCAGUUACUGUAAUUUUUACAAUGGAAGUGCUGUCCACAGGGAAGGGGAAUCUCAAAUGGCAUUUUAUGGACAAACCCUGACACGUACAAGCCGUGGACAAUACUGCCUAGCCACCAAAAGACACAAGCUGUCUAGCCACAGCAGGGCUCGGAGAAAGCCGAGUGGACAUGACUAAGCCAGAGGAGCCGGCGUGAGAGGAGCCACUGCACCAUUCCAGCCGAACAGCCUCCUGGAAAAGACAAAGGCAGCGACACAGGAAGAUGGAGGUGACCAGGUGUCUGGGGAGG